ACCUGUGUAAUGAUCAGGCUGUUUAAUCAACUUCUUGUUAUGCCACACCUGUCAGGUGGAUGGAUUAUCUUGGCAAAGUAGAAAUGCUCACUAACAGGGAUGUAAACAGAUUUCUGCACAAAGUUGGAGAGCGAAGGUUUUUGUGCGUAUGGAACAUUUCUGGGAUCUUUUAUUUCAGCUGAAACACGGGACCGACACUUUACAUGUUGUGUUUAUAUUUCUGUUCAGUAAAAUAUGUUACUUUAGAUAUUGUCUCAAAUUCCCCCGUCAUAAUGACCAACGGAUUCUAAAAUGUAUUUUCAUUUUAUUUAACUUCUGGCAUCCCACAGACUGUUCUUGUGCAACCCAAUACAAUCGGAAGUAACACUAGUGUAUGUAAAUACACCCGCGUUGCUAAAAGCAGGUAGUCACUUGCCUGCCCUGAAUGUGCUUUCAGGGGAUGACUGGUCUGGCAGCUCAACAGAGCCAAGGGAGAGAAGGUCAAAUACGAGGUGAUAGUCGUGUGUGUGUGUUCGUUGUCCGAGCCCUGUUCCGACAGGUGUGUUAACAGUUUCGCCCCUUUCAAUCUGUGUGUUUAGUGAACAAGUUGUCUAGUGUGUGUUAUAGCCUUGUUUUGAUGUGUGUGUGCUGUGUCUAGGUGGCGGAUUUGACCAGUGUGUAUGAAGAGGUGGACGAGGAACUCUCGGAUGGCGAGAGAGGCAGGACGGUGACUGGAUCGUUGAUGAUGUUUUCUUGAAGAUCACUCCGCGACACACACAAUGCAGUGGUUCAGCAGAAGAUGAUGCGCUGUCUGCCGCUGACUUCUCACUCGCCAUCUCUCACCGCCGUCAUCAAAUGGACUCAUGCUAGCAACAAGUUCUGACUGAGCUCUAUUGUCAUGAAACGCUAUACAACUGCAGAGUUUCUCUCUUUCUCUUACAAAGUUAUAACGAGGCCCACAAUGUGUUCUGUGCGGGGGAAGUGCUGACUAAUGAGUCUCUCAUAACGGACAAAUGAGUAAAAGGACACGCCCUGACCAAACAUCCACAACAUGACCCAGAGAGUUAUUUCAGAACAGGGCAGAAUGCUUCAGGAAACAAUGCUUCAGGAAACAGUGCUUCAGGAAACAGUGCUUCAGGAAACAGUGCUUCAGGAAUCAGUGCUUCAGGAAACAGUGCUUCGACAGUGGAAAAGUAAGUCAGCUAGCAAGACAUUGUUGUCAUUUUAUAACAGGUGAUGGAUGAUAAGCAGAAAUAAGGGAGUACUAACUAACUCUCAUAGUAGUAGAUGUGAGUUUCUCUUUCAAACAAUCCGCUGGCAUUGUACACAGCUAAUAGCUAACAAAGCAAGCUAGCUACUGAUAGUGCAACCAUCAGUAACAGCCCAGAUGAAAAAUGAUCAGGCCUACUGUUCAUCUUACUUUUGAAAACUAGUCUAGGUUGGAACUGUUGCUGUUAAAAUACAAUAAUAUUUUUUAUUCUUAACUGGAAUAAACUGAUUGAAGCAAGAUGCUUUUUGAGGCAAACACUCACACAGUUAUGAGUUGUUCAUCUACAACAGGAAGCGGUCUUCUGCCUGACUGAGAACCCACUCACACAGUUCUGGGUUGUUCAUCUACAACAGGAAGCAGUAUCCUGCCUGACUGAGAACCCACUCACACAGUUCUGGGUUGUUCAUCUACAACAGGAAGCAGUAUCCUGCCUGACUGAGAACCCACUCACACAGUUCUGGGUUGUUCAUCUACAGCAGGAAGCGGUCUCCUGCCUGACUGAGAACCCACUCACACAGUUCUGGGUUGUUCAUCUACAGCAGGAAGCGGUCUCCUGCCUGACUGAGAACCCACUCACACAGUUAUGGGUUGUUCAUCUACAGCAGGAAGCGGUCUCCUGCCUGACUGAGAAAGCAGUAGAUGUUCUGGUCCAGUUUGGUACCACAUACCUAUGUGAGUCAGGGUGUUCAACUCUAACGUACAGAAACAGUUUCAAGGCUGAGCAUCACCUCAUUGUUUUACUGUCUAAAACAGAGCCCAGAAUAUAGACGUGCUUGUUGGUCACAUCACACAGAUGUAGACCGAUCUGUUUAUUCCAGUUCAGAGUAAGACAUAUGUAUUGUAUUUUAACAGCAACAGUUCCCACCUUGACUUUCGUUCAACAGUAAGAUGUACAGUAGGCCUGAUCAUUUUUCAUCUGGACUGUUACUGAGGGUUGCACAUCAAAAAGCUGGCGGUCGGUCCCGGAGUUGAGAGACAACUUGAGUAUAAAUACAAUGGAGCAUUUACGCUUGAUAUGCGGACUGAUGAUUUUUGAAAAAUUGUCACGGUGGGCUUUUGGUUUCUCUCCCUCUAAGAAACAUAAAUGGCUCUAAAUAACAAACGGACUUGAUUUACCACAGUGUGAAGGAGUAUUAAACCCUCUUUAGAAAGUGAGUUUCUGAGUCCUUUGCUGAUGUGUAGAAGAAACUGAAUUGAAAGAGAGUCCAGCGAGGAUAGGGAGGGGGGAAAAAGGUGAGCUGAGCUACUUUGUUUAUUUAUGAAAUAUUCUAGUUUAUUUAGGCAAUUUUAAUAUAUAUGUUUAGGCUUGGCCUGUUUAGUAGGCUAUUUGUCAGCAUAACGCUGGGUUUUCUGUAAAAAAUACAUGUUUUGACCAAGUUAAUCUGUGUUAAAUUAUUUGUAACAUUGUGUUUGCAAUGAAGAAUGUAAACAAAAUAAAUGAUGUUCAUAAUGAAUAAUCGGA